UUACCUGAGUGAUUGCAUUCAGCUCCUCCAGGAUGGCAUCUUCGUCCUCCUGAGUGAAGCUUCCUGCCAACAGCUCAUCUAUUUGCUGCAAAAGGAGGAGCCAAGGAGCGAGCCCCGGGACGCAGCCACACCUACCCGCUGGUACUCCACCGCCUCCUGUGUCUCGUCCAGGAUCCGCUCCACUUCUUCUAUGGACAUCACCUAUUGGUUCAAAGUUUGGCUCCACCCACAGUGGCUACGGCGCCGUCGGACCAGUCUUUCAGAAGCCUCAAGUACACGCCUCAGAUUCCUGCUGGCCCUCUCACCCACCUUCGGGCACCCAAACCAACCCUGGCAGUUUCAGGUAAAAGCAAGCAAAAAGUGUAAAAAACUUUCUCUGGGCAGGUGCCUUGAUUUAUUUUGGGUGGCAAGUUCAAAGCAGCGUCUUUGCUUGACAGGCAGGCACAAUGCCACAUUCAACACUCAGAAAAGCAGCGUAACCUCAGCUCUCUGUCCAGCCCCACUUACCAAACUCGCCAGGAGUGGUGGGGGUGGGGGUGGGGGCUGUGGCAUGGCUCCCCUGGGCCUCGCCUCUCCUUUGACCAUCCACCUCCAUGCUGCUUCCUGAGACCAGGCUGAGCUCGCCUCCUCCGGGAAGCUCUCCCGAUUAGUUCACCACCCCGCUCCCCCACCAUAACCCGGCUUUCCCUCUAGUUAUCUUAGCAUCUGUGGACCCAAUUUACAGUUUGUGCCCGUCACCCCAUUCAGCUCAACAUCCUUGAGUUUGUCUGUCCCACUAGACUGUCACCCUCUCCCAGUAGUGACUGGCUUUCCCAUGUUCCUGUCUAGCACAAACACCUCCCGGCUGAUGGCCUGGGCACACGUGUGGCCUCAGGGACAAGCCCCCUCUUGUUGCACUGGACUGCCCCUCCUCUCGGCCCCUAGCCCCGU